rnacentral:rRNA from 1 species
CCUACGGGUGGCAGCAGUGGGGAAUAUUCCACAAUGGGCGAAACUCUGAUGCAGCGACGCCGCGUGAGUGAAGAAGUAUUUCGGUACGUAAAGCUCUAUCAGCAGGGAAGAAAAUGACCGUUCGUGACCAAACAGCCCCUGCCAACAACUAACCAGCAGCCGCGGUAAUACGUAGGGGGAAAGCGUGCUCCGGAUUUACUGGGUGUAGAGGGAGCGUAGACGGUUAUGUAAGUCUGGAGUGAAGGCCGGGGGCUCAACCCCGGGGCGGAUUUGGAAACUGGGUCACUGGAGUACAGGAGGGGCGAGCGGAAUUCCAGGUGUAGCGGUGAAAUGCGUAGAUAUAAGGAGGAACACCAGCGGCGAAGGCGGCCUGCUGGUCUGAAACUGACGUUGAGGCUCGAAAGCGUGGGGAGCAAACAGGAUUAGAUACCCUAGUAGUC